rnacentral:rRNA from 1 species
UACGUAGGGGGCGAGCGUUGUCCGGAAUUAUUGGGCGUAAAGGGCGCGCAGGCGGUUUGCCAAGUCAGGUGUUUAAGGCCGGGGCUCAACCCUGGAGCGCAUCUGAAACUGGCAGACUGGAGUGCAGGAGAGGAGAGCGGAAUUCCACGUGUAGCGGUGAAAUGCGUAGAGAUGUGGAGGAACACCAGUGGCGAAGGCGGCUCUCUGGCCUGUAACUGACGCUGAGGCGCGAAAGCGUGGGGAGCAAACAGG